GACGGAGGGUGCAAACGUUGUUCGGAAUCACUGGGCGUAAAGGGCGCGUAGGCGGACUUGUAAGUCGGGAGUGAAAACUCGGGGCUCAACCCCGAGCCUGCUUCCGAAACUGCGAGUCUUGAGGACCGGAGAGGAAAGUGGAAUUCCUAGUGUAGCGGUGGAAUGCGUAGAGAUCGGGAGGAACACCCGUGGCGAAGGCGGCCAUCUGGACCAGCACUGACGCUGAGGCACGAAAGCGUGGGGAGCAAACAGG
rnacentral:rRNA from 1 species